rnacentral:rRNA from 1 species
UUCCGUAAGGUUGAACCUGCGGAAGGAUCAUUA